GAUGAAGAACGCAGCGAAAUGCGAUACGUAGUGUGAAUUGCAGAAUUCAGUGAAUCAUCGAAUCUUUGAACGCACAUUGCGCCCUUUGGUAUUCCAAAGGGCAUGCCUGUUCGAGCGUCAUUUGUACCUUCAAGCUUUGCUUGGUGUUGGGCGUUUUUUGUCUCCCUCUUUCUGGGAGACUCACCUUAAAACGAUUGGCAGCCGGCCUACUGGUUUCGGAGCGCAGCACAUAUUUUGCGCUUUGUAUCAGGAGAAAAGGACGGUAAUCCAUCAAGACUCUACAUUUUUAACUUUUGACCUCGGAUCAGGUAGGGAUACCCGCUGAACUUAAGCAUAUCAAUAAGCGGAUGA
rnacentral:misc_RNA from 1 species